rnacentral:misc_RNA from 1 species
GGGUGAGAAUGAUUCAAGUCAUUCAAUGGAUGAGGAUCAAGCAAAAAAAUCACCUGCACAGAAACGUAAAAGGCUCCUAAGGAGUUGUAGGAAAAGUUAGUAUUACAUUGAAACAUGCCGUUUCUUCUUGUGCAGGUAUCUUUAUCGUAUGUAUUUGUUGUCGAUAUGCAGCGGCUUUUUGUUAGUACAGUCAUAUGUUGGGAAGAGG